UACGUAGGGUGCAAGCGUUGUCCGGAAUUAUUGGGCGUAAAGAGCUCGUAGGCGGUCUGUCGCGUCGGCUGUGAAAUCCCGGAGCUCAACUCCGGGUCUGCAGUCGAUACGGGCAAACUGGAGUACUGCAGGGGAGACUGGAAAUUCCUGGUGUAGCGGUGAAAUGCGCAGAUAUCAGGAGGAACACCGGUGGCGAAGGCGGGUCUCUGGGCAGUAACUGACGCUGAGGAGCGAAAGCGUGGGGAGCGAACAGG
rnacentral:rRNA from 1 species